GUACAACAGAGAUGAUUAGCAUGGCCACUGCACAAGGAUGACAUGCAAAUUUGUGAAGUGUUCCAUAUUUAA
rnacentral:snRNA from 1 species